rnacentral:rRNA from 1 species
GUGUCAGCAGCCGCGGUAAUACGUAGGGUGCGAGCGUUAAUCGGAAUUACUGGGCGUAAAGCGUGCGUAGGUGGUUCGUUGUGUCUGUGGUGAAAUCCCCGGGCUUAACCUGGGAAUGGCCAUGGAAACUGGCGAGCUGGAGUGUGGCAGAGGGGGGUGGAAUUCCGCGUGUAGCAGUGAAAUGCGUAGAGAUGCGGAGGAACACCGAUGGCGAAGGCAGCCCCCUGGGCUAACACUGACGCUGAGGCACGAAAGCGUGGGGAGCAAACAGGAUUAGAUACCCUGGUAGUCCACGCCCUAAACGAUGUCAACUGGGUGUUCGGAAAGCGAUUUCUGGGUACCGUAGCUAACGCGUGAAGUUGACCGCCUGGGGAGUACGGCCGCAAGGUUAAA